rnacentral:tRNA from 1 species
GGGGUUGUGGCUCAGUGAUAGAGCACUUGCCUUGCAUGCGAGAGGCUCUGGGUUUGAUCCUCAGCACUACA